rnacentral:rRNA from 1 species
GAGACGCUGCGCGGCAGGCCUACCUUGCUUUUCGAGCGGUACUUUCAGAAGCUUGCUUCUUGGGUGACAAUCGGGGUGCUUCUGUGUUCUGUCUGGGAAUCUGCCUGGUAGUGGGGGACUCCAAUGGGAAUUUUCUGCUGAUAACGCAUACGCCCUUCAGGGGAAAGUGGGGGAUGGUCUCAUUGCUGGGCCGGGAUGAGCCCGCGUGAUAUUACCUUGUUGGUGAGGUGGAUGCUCCCGGAUGGGAUGAUCCCACACUGGUCAGAGAGGUUGACCAAACACACUGGGACUGAGACACGGCCCAGACUCCUACGGGAGGCAGCAGUGGGGAAUAUUGGACAAUGGGGGCAACCCUGAUCCAGCCAUGCCGCGUGUGUGAAGAAGGCCUUCGGGUUGUAAAGCACUUUCAGCUGUGAGGAAAGGCGAGUGGUUAAUACCCGCUUGCUGUGACGUUAACAGCAGAAGAAGGACCGGCUAACUCCGUGCCAGCAGCCGCGGUAAUACGGAGGGUCCGAGCGUUAAUCGGAAUUACUGGGCGUAGAGCGCGCGUAGGUGGUUCACUCAGUCAAAUGUGAA